ACGGUGGAUGCCCUGGCAGUCAGAGGCGAUGAAGGGCGUACUAAUCUGCGAUAAGCGCCGGUAAGGUGAUAUGAACCGUUAUAACCGGCGAUACCCGAAUGGGGAAACCCAGUGUGAUUCGUCACACUAUCAUUAACUGAAUCCAUAGGUUAAUGAGGCGAACCGGGGGAACUGAAACAUCUAAGUACCCCGAGGAAAAGAAAUCAACCGAGAUUCCCCCAGUAGCGGCGAGCGAACGGGGAGGAGCCCAGAGCCUGAAUCAGCAUGUGUGUUAGUGGAAGCGUCUGGAAAGGCGCGCGAUACAGGGUGACAGCCCCGUACACAAAAGCGCAUGUGCUGUGAGCUCGAUGAGUAGGGCGGGACACGUGGUAUCCUGUCUGAAUAUGGGGGGACCAUCCUCCAAGGCUAAAUACUCCUGACUGACCGAUAGUGAACCAGUACCGUGAGGGAAAGGCGAAAAGAACCCCGGCGAGGGGAGUGAAAAAGAACCUGAAACCGUGU
rnacentral:rRNA from 1 species